ACUAGAAUAUUGGUGCAGCCACAAAUCUUUUUUCUCCUUUUAAUUGUAACAGACUGUAUCGGUUGCAUUUUUCUCUGUCAUACAGGUUGUGGCUAUCAAAGAUAUAAUAUCACCUCCUUAUAGGGAAACAUUUAAUGAUGUGUACAGAGUACAGGUAGUGAUAGAAAUUGUUGGUCGAUUGUGGCUUGUAGACAAAGGGAUGAGUAACCAACAAUACAAAUAUGGGAGGCCUUCCCCAGGUAUCCAAA